UACGAAGGGGGCUAGCGUUGCUCGGAAUCACUGGGCGUAAAGCGCACGUAGGCGGAUUGCUAAGUCAGGGGUGAAAUCCUGGAGCUCAACUCCAGAACUGCCUUUGAUACUGGCGAUCUUGAGUCCGGGAGAGGUGAGUGGAACUGCGAGUGUAGAGGUGAAAUUCGUAGAUAUUCGCAAGAACACCAGUGGCGAAGGCGGCUCACUGGCCCGGUACUGACGCUUAGGUGCGAAAGCGUGGGGAGCAAACAGG
rnacentral:rRNA from 1 species